AAAUUGAAGAGUUUGAUCAUGGCUCAGAUUGAACGCUGGCGGCAGGCCUAACACAUGCAAGUCGAACGGUAACAGGAAACAGCUUGCUGUUUCGCUGACGAGUGGCGGACGGGUGAGUAAUGUCUGGGAAACUGCCCGAUGGAGGGGGAUAACUACUGGAAACGGUAGCUAAUACCGCAUAACGUCGCAAGACCAAAGAGGGGGACCUUCGAGCCUCUUGC
rnacentral:rRNA from 2 species